rnacentral:rRNA from 1 species
CCGGCUUACCAACCCGAUGCAAACUGCGAAUACCGGAGAAUGUUAUCACGGGAGACACACGGCGGGUGCUAACGUCCGUCGUGAAGAGGGAAACAACCCAGACCGCCAGCUAAGGUCCCAAAGUCAUGGUUAAGUGGGAAACGAUGUGGGAAGGCCCAGACAGCCAGGAUGUUGGCUUAGAAGCAGCCAUCAUUUAAAGAAAGCGUAAUAGCUCACUGGUCGAGUCGGCCUGCGCGGAAGAUGUAACGGGGCUAAACCAUGCACCGAAGCUGCGGCAGCGACACUGUGUGUUGUUGGGUAGGGGAGCGUUCUGUAAGCCUGUGAAGGUGUGUCGUGAGGCAUGCUGGAGGUAUCAGAAGUGCGAAUGCUGACAUAAGUAACGAUAAAGCGGGUGAAAAGCCCGCUCGCCGGAAGACCAAGGGUUCCUGUCCAACGUUAAUCGGGGCAGGGUGAGUCGACCCCUAAGGCGAGGCCGAAAGGCGUAGUCGAUGGGAAACGGGUUAAUAUUCCCGUACUUGGUGUUACUGCGAAGGGGGGACGGAGAAGGCUAUGUUGGCCGGGCGACGGUUGUCCCGGUUUAAGCGUGUAGGUGUGUGUUCCAGGUAAAUCCGGUUCACUUUAACACUGAGGCGUGACGACGAGGCACUACGGUGCUGAAGCAACAAAUGCCCUGCUUCCAGGAAAAGCCUCUAAGCAUCAGGUAACAUCAAAUCGUACCCCAAACCGACACAGGUGGUCAGGUAGAGAAUACCAAGGCGCUUGAGAGAACUCGGGUGAAGGAACUAGGCAAAAUGGUGCCGUAACUUCGGGAGAAGGCACGCUGACACGUAGGUGAAGUGAUUUACUCAUGGAGCUGAAGUCAGUCGAAGAUACCAGCUGGCUGCAACUGUUUAUUAAAAACACAGCACUGUGCAAACACGAAAGUGGACGUAUACGGUGUGACGCCUGCCCGGUGCCGGAAGGUUAAUUGAUGGGGUCAGCGCAAGCGAAGCUCCUGAUCGAAGCCCCGGUAAACGGCGGCCGUAACUAUAACGGUCCUAAGGUAGCGAAAUUCCUUGUCGGGUAAGUUCCGACCUGCACGAAUGGCGUAAUGAUGGCCAGGCUGUCUCCACCCGAGACUCAGUGAAAUUGAACUCGCUGUGAAGAUGCAGUGUACCCGCGGCAAGACGGAAAGACCCCGUGAACCUUUACUAUAGCUUGACACUGAACAUUGAGCCUUGAUGUGUAGGAUAGGUGGGAGGCUUUGAAGUGUGGACGCCAGUCUGCAUGGAGCCGACCUUGAAAUACCACCCUUUAAUGUUUGAUGUUCUAACGUGGACCCGUUACCCGGGUUGCGGACAGUGUCUGGUGGGUAGUUUGACUGGGGCGGUCUCCUCCUAAAGAGUAACGGAGGAGCACGAAGGUUG